AAUUGAACUGUAUUGCUUUGGACAUGGAGCGGGAUGUGCAUGGCAGUUUCUAAAGCAGACGCAGAAUAGAUUGCAGGUGCUCUGAAAUGUCUUCUCUCACGAUAACCUAAGGUAGCACGGUAACCCUGGUCCUGACGGGAGGGGAAAAAACUGUCGGGGAAGGUUCUCUUCUGCGCUGUUCAACCAAUCCAGUAAAUGUGGAGGAGUUAAGAUGGAGUGCCUCGUUAAAGUCAAAAAGCCUAAGUGCUUCAUAGGCUCUCUUUCCAUUUUCCCUGAAAACCGGCUGCAUCCGAUUGUUAUUGACACUACUGAGGAUGCUCUCACAGGGACAUUUAUCGCUUGAAGAAAUGCCAUCGUAAUGUGUGUGCAGUAUGCCGGACUGUUGCAGAUCCCAUGGCAGAUAAGAAUGUUAAGGAAUCAACCUUCAGAUUGUAUCACUAAAGAGCAAGGUUGACCAAGCUGGAGCUGUGUGCUCUCUGACAUACUCCAUGCUACACCACAUUUCACACUACUGCAUCCAGCGGUCCUUCCAUAUCUUCAACUGGAAAUCAGACAGCAAGGUGUAACAGUCAACAAUGGACCUGCAAUACGUCAACCGGAUGAAAUAGGAAAUAGGCUUACCGCAGGCUACAGGCCUACACUUGUAGCCUGAAUUGAUGGAUCCACUGUACGCGCACCUCAGUCUCAGCCACUCACCUUCACCUUGUCUACAAGCUUCUCGGCCACUCAUCUUCGCCUUGACAAAAUAUCAGUCACAUAUGGGGGAUGGAAAAAGCUGACGGAAUACUGUGUACACCUCCCAUGCCAUCAUGCGAUCUGAAAGGUGAUCUCUGCAGCCAAGGUGUCUGGCCCUGAGUGAAGUGGAAAGCGCUUCACAUGAAGAUUUUUCCAAUAAACACUGAGGAAAAAGAGUCACCAGCUAGGGGUAGCGCCACUUCGGACAGCACGGGGUGCCCUGCCUCUCUCACCUGGCCAGACCCACUGGCUCUCUACGGACCCCUGCUGCCCCUGCUACCUGGAUACAGACCAGACAUAGCAGCUUCUUCAACAAGCCAGAGGAGCUUUGGAGGGGAGUUCUGGCGGAGACUGGCGCCGGAGCUCGGAAGGGUCGAGGGAAGAGGACCAAGAGGAAGAUGACGAAAGAUCUGAACUGAGGCCAGAACAUCGGAGAAGGGCAUCGGGGGGGUCCUGUGGCUGUGGGUUGAACGCAGCCCAUCCUGAAGAGUGGGGCCAUACAGAACAUGUCCUGCCGUGUGGAGUCGGAGCAACAGGAACUACAGGAGGAGCUUCUGCGGCAGCGUGACGAAUGAGAUCGCAGGGUGAAGAGGGAGCGAGGGUGGACUGGCAACUCCUGGGGAGGCAUCAGUCUGGGGCCCCCUGACCCUGGACCCAACGGAGGUUACGGACUACACUGUCACCACGCGGUCAUCACCAUCUGUAAGCUGAUUGGUGUAGAGGACAUGUACGCCAAGGAAGAGGGCUCCGUCAACCUGCUCAACAUCACCAUGGCUGUGUUCACCAGACUGGCCAAUCAGAGACCCAACAGUUUCAGCCGGAGCACGGGCCCCUGCCCCUCAUCGCGGCCACCCCUAAGAAUGGAGUGCAUCCUGACCACAAACCCGAGGAAGAGACAGGACAUGAAACGCAUGACAGGGCUUGUGACGUUGUCCAAAAUGAGAGCUGUCUAAUAAAAAUGUAAA